rnacentral:rRNA from 1 species
UACGUAGGGACCAAGCGUUGUUCGGAUUUACUGGGCGUAAAGGGCGCGUAGGCGGCCCUACAAGUCACUUGUGAAAUCUCCGGGCUUAACUCGGAACGGCCAAGUGAAACUGUAGAGCUAGAGUGUGGAAGGGGCAAUCGGAAUUCUUGGUGUAGCGGUGAAAUGCGUAGAUAUCAAGAGGAACACCUGAGGUGAAGGCGGGUUGCUGGGCCAACACUGACGCUGAGGCGCGAAAGCCAGGGGAGCAAACGGG